AGAAGGUGGAUGUAAUUUGGCUUGGCUACUGUAGCUGCAAAAUGACUUUAAGCAGGAGUGACUAGCUGAGUGAAUGCUUAAUGUUCUUGUUUUCUUCUGCAUGUCAAGGGAGGAAAGGAAGGUUUUCUACAUUCAUUUGAGAAAAGAGGGUGCUGUGUCUGAUUCUCUUAUCCUUUGUUUUUCUACUUUUAAUGAAGCCUGGUGGUGUUCUUGCCCAAAUCUACAAUCAGGGCAGAAAGCAAGCCUGGACUGAAGGGAGAUAAAUUGAAUGAAAGAUGUACCUGACCCAAGUGCAGCGAAUGAAGAUGAGUGGAUGGGUGUGAGCAGGAGUAGGGAACAAGACAUUGUGUGGGAUGCCUGAGGAAAUCUCCUUGCCUGUAUACACCAGAGGAUUCGAUUCAGAGGAAAACCGCAAGCGAUGUGUGCCACUGAUUUUGGGUCAUCUGCACUCAAUUCAAAAGGAAAAGUCUGCUAUGGAUUUCCCUGAAAGGUGGGAUAGAAACAGGAGAAAUGCAGUGUUGGAAACCACACAAAUAUGGUAUCUGUGGCAAGUUUACAUGCUCAGCAGUAAAGUUUGAGUUUCCAAGACUAAUAAUAAGAGAAAAGCUGGAAUGGAACCCUGCAAGUUCUACAUGUCACAGAUACAUCUUCAGCCCAGGAUCCAGGUGUUUCAUGUGAAUUUGUGAGUGGAAGAUGAGAAAAAGGCACUGUGUUUGCUGCUCCUUGGUUAAAACAGCUUUAAGCCCUGGAAAUGAAGAGGGGAGUGAUGGAGUCUUUCAAGUGCAAGUGCCACCUUGAGAAAGAGGAGCGACAGUGGGGCAGGCAGUCCCACCCUUGCCUGGUGAGUACUUUGCAGGUCUGCUCUAAGUGCAUUGCUUAUGAUUGGGAGCAGCUGCAAGCUCAGCCCAGCGCAGCUCUCCCAAUGCAUUCCAGAUGACGAAUAUGAUGCAGACUUACUGGAAGAAAAAUAUACUUCUGGGGGAGAAAAAACAAUUACUUCUCAAAGCAAGACAAUGGAGCUGAACCAGUGCUAUGUGGGCAUAAAACAGAACAGAACUUUUGGGCAACAGCUUUAAUCUCUAAUAAAUCACCCACCUGGAGAUCCUUUCGCAGAGAGAGUUGGGAUGUAUUAGACCCAAAAUAUUUUUAGAGUUACAUAAAGUUGAAGAAUUAUGCAUUUCGCCCUUGAUUUCUCCCCAAAGGGACAGAUACUUUGUACUGUCAUAGCCUCUGAAUUUCACAUUAGCAGCAAGAAGGUGCCUUUGCCACUCCCAAACAACACGGGGGCUGCUUCACACAAAGUUACAUGAAAAGGCUUAGGAGCAACCGAUUGCUGAAGUGGGUUUCACUGCCUGGAUUUUCAGAGGUGACGUGAAGGAAAUUUGCAAAACCAUGUUAAAAGUUAUGUGGUGAAAAUUAGCUUAAAUGCCUAGUUUUAAUUUUGUUUGUGCUUUUGUUGUUUCAUUGUAGGGAGAAGGGAGAAGCUGUAUUUUAUUCCCUGUCUCUCCAUUUCGUUGGGGAGAAAAUGGAUAUUGGUGAAGAGUGCUCUGGCAGGGAUUGGGAAGAUGUUGUUUAUUCUGUUUUGUUUUCUUUAGAAAGGGGCAGCUCUGCUAAAACUAGUGAUGAUCCAGUUAAAGAGGGACUUGGGAGGAAGAGAAAAGAAAACUAAUAAUCAGCCUUUAAAUGACAAGCUUCCUCUUGAACAAAAGAGCAACAGGAGGUAGUGCAGGUGGGGGGUCAGUGCCCAGUGGUAACAUCACCAAAACAAUGGCUGGAGAAUGUGUGUAGCUUUUGCCACUCCAGAAACUGCUGCCCCAGUGCCUUCACUGAAGGGCUGGAAGGAUCAAACCCUACUCAGCCCUGGGUGAUGUGCCAUGCCACUUUUGGAAUCUUCCAAAGUAGAGGCAAAGAUCGACUGUGGCUGACACAAGCAAGGAGGAGUGCAGGAGAAUCUAGCUCUGAUUCUGAAACACGGCUAUGACUGAACAGCCCCAACCCCUUCAGCAGAGCCCCUGUCAGCAAAGGGGCUAAAGGUGGGGCUUAAAGUGACUUUAAUUAAAGAUGGAAUCUGCUUGGUAAUGUCUACACUUCUCCUGCAUUUUGUUAGCUGUCUCCUGGGAGCUGUCACCCAUGCUGGGUAAAGCGAAGCGAGAUGAUUUGAAACUAUUGGGAGUGUUCACACAGAAGUUCGUUUUGGUUUAGACUAAAUUGGUUUUAAUUUAAAUUCAUGUAACUUCUGUGUAGAUGAGGCCUAUGGCUUGCCAUUUUGCAGCAAUGGUGAAUUUAGAGCAUAUGUGCUCCAAAUGGACUAUCAUGCAAAUUCCCUUGGCACUUACUCCAAGUCCAGUUCCAGCUGUCGAUGGAGAUGGAGCAGCAGAAUGGAUGGCUCACAUGGCCUCCCAUGUAAUGCAGAUUGGAUCUAUUGUCAGUCAGAUGGACUGGUGGUGUGGGAGCAGUGUGAAGCCAGUUCUUUCACUACAUAGUGUGUAAAGCAAUGAGGCAGACAAAAGCUGGAUUUAAAUUAGGGAAUAUUUCUGCCAAAUUUCAUUCUCUGAAGCAGAGAAAUAAAACAUUUAAUGCAUCUGGCAAUGUUUAUUCUGUGCACAAUGUUCUAGCUGAUCAUAAAAGAAAAGCUACAUGUGAACAUUAUCUAGAAACUUCAUCAUAUUCUGAGGAGCUGAGAGAGCAUGAUUCUGCCAUGGUCUGAAAAACUAUUUGACUGGGAAGGCAGAUGCAGGUUGGCAAGAAAGCAAGAUGACAAGAGGAAAAAAAACAACCCCACCUCUCUUUUCCGUUAGGUAGGAAUUAGCAGUUACAAUCACAGCAAAUUCUUGUCUGCCACAAAGGCUCCAUUUUGAAAAUCCUUGGUGUCCUCAACAUCCUGCUCUAUGGCCAGUGGCUUCCCAUUUUGUAGUUUUGCUGUUUAUUCAAAGGAAAGCAAGACCUGAAUGGUUGGAAAAUGCACAUGCUGCUCGUGCAGCAACUGCCAUGUGCAUGAAAAGAAAAGGAUUUCUUGCCUGUGCGCAGUGGGAAUCUGUGCUGAUAAGUGGGCAGUAACUCUCAUUACAUGCAUAUAGCCCCCUUGAAGAUUUGGCCCUGAAUUCUGCUGGUGAAGCUUAGCUUGUAUUUUCCACUCUAUCUUCUGAGAAAUCUGUGCUUGAAUCAUCCGUUACCUUGGCAGAAAUAGAAGACAAUGGUUAAAAAUAAUCCAAAGAAAUAAUACCAGACCAUUUUUAAUUGCAAACGAUUGAAACAGCAAGCAUCAAUUAACGUGGGUGAAAACACAGUUGUGCAAUCCAAGUAGGAAGAAUGUCAAGAAUAAUCACUUUGUAACUAGAUUUGGAAAAAAAGAAACCAUGCUUUCCUUUGGACAGAAGAAUGCGGUGUGGGCAGUGAAAAAUAACACUGAAAAAAAAAAGGCAGCAACGUGUUUUUAUUUCUACUGGUUUCAAAACAGCGUUUGCCUCUUGAAAUGAAAUGGAAUCUGAGGUGCUGUCCUUUCAAAGUAGUCUGGUACGAGGUAAUGCAUCGACUACCCCAUUGAUAUUGUAAUUUUUCUAGCAUACAUAGAAA